GGGGACUUAGCUUAGUGGCACAGUGCCUACUUGACAAGUAUGAGGUCCUGAGUUCAAUUCCUAGUCCUCA
rnacentral:tRNA from 1 species